GAAUGGAUAUUUUAGUCUUCUGAUGGAACUGACUCUGAUUAAAACCCUCAUCAAAGCCUCAAAAUACCAAGAAUGGACACCAGUGCCUUCUUUUCUAGCAUUCAUUGGUAAAUCAAGCUGAAAUCUUCAUGGUUUCAUUGCAGAAGAUGACCAAGUUAAAAUCACUGCAACCUACAACUGUCACCUAAACAAGAGGGAAUACAGCACCCUUUUGUAAAUAUUGCCCUUCUGCAGUCCUCUUAAAUAAAAAUGCUCAGACUCAUUUUUAGGUGCCUGAGAUUCAUUUUACUGCUGCAUUUAUGGCAUACUUUUUAAGGUGAUUUUCUCUUUAUUCAUUGACCAUUGCCCACGCUUAUUUCUCAACUGCCCCCUAAUGGACUGAAACCACAAAGAGAGAUAAAUAAAAAAAAUAUCAAAUUAAUCAUAUUUAGAAUCGUUUCUUGAUAUCUAUAUUGCCCCACUUCCCAACUACCUUUUGCUGAUAGGUUACAAUCACAGAAUGACUCUAAAAAGAUACAAUAGUAGCACCAUUUUGCCCUGAAGUUCUCUCUGUGAUACGUGCCCAAAAGAUUAAUGUUUUGAUUAAAAGAACCUUGAUUAAAUUUUCUGAUAGAAAAUUGUUCAUAAGUACAUGCCUCUUUUUCUUUGGUCCCAGGCUGAAGUUCUUACUUACAGGGAGACUACAAAUAAAGGAGGAAGUGGAUGGAGAUGCUAAACACAGACAGUGCAGAGAACUCACAGUUAAGAGAACAACAGAAGCCUGUAAGGCAGCAACAAACUAGGAACAAGGGCAAGAUGCAACAGUGAAGAAAGAAGCAAUGUGAUUUAAAGGUGAAAGGAUCUGGAUGUGACCCUACUGGGCAAAGAGAGUCAGAGAGGCUACAUUUUUCAUGAGUGCCUACGGCAUCUUGUUUGCAGAGACUGAACCUCUGGUGAACAGCUCAACAUAGUUCCCAUUUUCUAUUUUUGAAUUUUAUCAACAUGAUUUUUGUGUCGGAGAGAUGAAAGUUACAACAGUUGCUGUACAUCAGGUUGCAUCAGGGAAUUAUCAGUACAUACACUAGCCUUCCAGAAUACCACUAGAGGUGCUAUUAUUUUUACCAGCAUCAGUAAGUUUUAAUUCCCAAGUAUAAAACGUUUCCUUUAAAAAGUUCAGUAUAAAUAUAAAAUGAAAUAAUCCCUCACAGACCCAUCUUCAAUAGGUUGAUGCUUUGCUUUUCCCAGUAAAUCAGGGAUAACAGAUUGCAACAGAGGCGAGACAGAAAUGAUGCUAAUAACUAAACUGAAAUGAAUAUUUGAGGAGAAAUUUCCAAUAAGAGGAUUAAACAAAGGAGGCAUAGCAGGGGAGCCAUCCAGAGUCUACCGGGCAGCCCUAAGAAUCCACUUAGGACACUUUGGUGGAGUUCUUAGACAAAUUGGGCCACUUACUGAGUCCAGCAAAAGUUCCUUUCACAUAUAAUAGGCUGUAAUGGUUCCUCCUUUGUUAGCCUGAGUAUUUCAGACAAAGCAGCUCC
rnacentral:lncRNA from 1 species